GCGCAGCAGGCGAGAAUAGUCUACAAUGGACGAAUGUCUGAUAGUGCGACGCCGUGUGUGCGAUUAAUUCCUUCGGGAUGUAAAGCACUUUUCUAUGAGAUAAAAGCUCUUUAGGUUAAUAGCUUAUUGAGACGGAUAUUAUUAUAGGAAUAAGCUCCGGCUAACUCCGUGCCAGCAGCCGCGGUAAUACGGAAGGAGCGAGCGUUGUCCGGAUUUACUAGGCGUAAAGGGCUAGUAGGCGACUAAUUAAGUUAUAUGUUAAAUCCCACGGCUCAACUGUGGUCCUGCAUGUAAUACUGGUUAGAUAGAGUACUGUAGAGGAAGGCAGAAUUCCUGGAGUAGCGGUGGAAUGCGCAGAUAUCAGGAAGAAUACCAAAAGCGAAGGCAGCCUUCUGGGCAGUUACUGACGCUGAAUAGCGAAGGUGUGGUAGCGAACAGGAUUAGAUA
rnacentral:rRNA from 1 species